rnacentral:rRNA from 1 species
CAUCUGAAAGAGAUUAAAGAUUUAUCGGUGAUGGAUGGGGAUGCGUCUGAUUAGCUUGUUGGCGGGGUAACGGCCCACCAAGGCAACGAUCAGUAGGGGUUCUGAGAGGAAGGUCCCCCACAUUGGAACUGAGACACGGUCCAAACUCCUACGGGAGGCAGCAGUGAGGAAUAUUGGUCAAUGGACGAGAGUCUGAACCAGCCAAGUAGCGUGCAGGAAGACGGCCCUAUGGGUUGUAAACUGCUUUUAUAAGGGAAUAAAGUGAG